rnacentral:rRNA from 1 species
UACGUAGGGGGCAAGCGUUGUCCGGAAUCAUUGGGCGUAAAGCGCGUGUAGGCGGUCCAACAAGUCUGGCGUGAAAGCCUUGGGCUCAACCCAAGAAGUGCGCUGGAAACUGUCGGACUUGAGUACUGGAGGGGGAGGUGGAAUUCUCGAGUGUAGAGGUGAAAUUCGUAGAUAUUCGGAAGAACAUCAGUGGCGAAGGCGACCUCCUGGACAGAUACUGACGCUGAGACGCGAAAGCGUGGGUAGCAAACAGG